rnacentral:tRNA from 1 species
GGCCUAGUAGCUCAGCUGGAUAGAGCAUCACACUUCGGAUGUGAGGGUCGGGCGUUCGAAUCGUCCCUGGGUCA